rnacentral:lncRNA from 1 species
UUGAGGAUUCUAUUGGUGACAACGAAUAAUACAGUGCAUAGUUUUUAACGUAAACAAUCUUUUUUUUUUUAAUAAUACGUAUACAACAUAACAAAUAAAGAGAACAUUAUUUUUUCGGUUUUUUAAAUAUUUUAUCUAUAUAAUUAAUUACAACGAAAGAAACACAUAUAAUAUAUUAGUAUUCCCAAAAUAUAUUAUAUUGUGUGAUUGAUAUGCACAAUGUAGUAGUAU